rnacentral:lncRNA from 1 species
CCUUAUAAUAGGAGAAAGAAAAAGUGGAAAUUUCCUACUUAAAAUAUGAACAGAUGCUACAAAUCCUCUGGAUCUGUAGUUGCUUUCUUUAUGACUCUGACUCUUAUCUAUUUGUCCUUCUCUGUGAGUUAUGAACUUUUUAGAGAUAAAAGUUACAGGAGAAGAGAUGAAAAUUAUACAAUGAACCUGCACAUUUUUAUUCUGUGUCAACACAAAACUAAGUUGUCCUUUAUUCCGCAAACAGUUUGUAUGCACACUGAUUUGAGAGUGAAGUUAGAUUAUUCUUCACUUUAUUUGGGUCUUUUGAUCUAACUUUGAUAACUAACCUUGAAAUAAAAUCAAAGAAUCUUCUUUAAAAAAAUUAGAAAGCAAAUAUGUCACAUUAAUUUUUAAAAUGUUAAAGUGUAUCUAUUUUGCAAUAAACUGUUUCCACCAAACAGAAAAGAAAAUCGCUAGCAGAGCAUGGUGGUGCACGACUAUAAUCCCAGCAACUCACUCCUGAGGCAGGAGGAUCACAAGUUCAAUGACAGCCUUAGGAACCUUGAGCAAGUUGCCUACAACUCAGUGAGACUCUGUCUCUAAAUAAAGUUCAAAAUAGGGCUAGGGAUGUGGUUAAGUGGUCAAGUGCCCCUGAGUUCAAUUCCUG